GCCAGGCAUGGUGGCACAUGCCUGUAGUCCCAGCUACUUGGGAGGCUGAGGUGGGAGGAUUGCUUGAGCCUGGGAGUUCAAGGCUGCAGUGAGCUAUGGUGGCGCCACAGCACUCCAGCCUUGGCAACAGAGCGAGACCUCAUAUCAA
rfam:Pan troglodytes isolate Yerkes chimp pedigree #C0471 (Clint) chromosome 10, whole genome shotgun sequence.